AGGACGAACGCUGGCGGCGUGCUUAACACAUGCAAGUCGAGCGGAAAGGCCCUUCGGGGUACUCGAGCGGCGAACGGGUGAGUAGCACGUGAGUAACCUGCCCUUGGCUCUGGGAUAGCUCCGGGAAACCGGAAUUAAUACCGGAUAUGACUGCGGCCGACAUCGGCUGUGGUGGAAAGAUUUAUCGGCCAGGGAUGGGCUCGCGGCCUAUCAGCUUGUUGGUGGGGUAACGGCCUACCAAGGCGACGACGGGUA
rnacentral:rRNA from 1 species